UACGAAGGGGGCUAGCGUUGUUCGGAAUUACUGGGCGUAAAGCGCGUGUAGGCGGGUCUUUAAGUCAGGUGUGAAAUGCCAAGGCUCAACCUUGGAACUGCCUUUGAUACUGGAGAUCUUGAGUCCGGGAGAGGUGAGUGGAAUUGCGAGUGUAGAGGUGAAAUUCGUAGAUAUUCGCAAGAACACCAGUGGCGAAGGCGGCUCACUGGCCCGGAACUGACGCUGAGACGCGAAAGCGUGGGGAGCAAACAGG
rnacentral:rRNA from 1 species